CGCAAGCCUGACGGAGCAAUACCGCGUGAGGGAGGAAGGCUCUUGGGUCGUAAACCUCUUUUAUCAGGGAAGAACACAAUGACGGUACCUGAUGAAUCAGCAUCGGCUAACUCUGUGCCAGCAGCCGCGGUAAUACAGAGGAUGCAAGCGUUAUCCGGAAUUAUUGGGCGUAAAGCGUCCGCAGGUGGUUUUGGUAGUCUGCUGUCAAAGCGCGAGGCUCAACUUCGUAACGGCGGUGGAAACUCCAAGACUAGAGCUAGGUAGGGGUCACGGGAAUUCCCAGUGUAGCGGUGAAAUGCGUAGAUAUUGGGAAGAACACCAGCGGCGAAAGCGCGUGACUGGGCCUGAGCUGACACUCAUGGACGAAAGCUAGGGGAGCGAAAGGGAUUAGAUACCCCUGUAGUCCUAGCCGUAAACGAUGACAACUAGGUGUUGCCCGUAUCGACCCGGGCAGUGCCGUAGCCAACGCGUUAAGUUGUCCGCCUGGGGAGUACGCACGCAAGUGUGAAACUCAAAGGAAUUGACGGGGGCCCGCACAAGCGGUGGAGUAUGUGGUUUAAUUCGAUGCAACGCGAAGAACCUUACCAAGGCUUGACAUGUCGCGAAUCUUCUUGAAAGGGAAGAGUGCCUUCGGGAGCGCGAACACAGGUGGUGCAUGGCUGUCGUCAGCUCGUGUCGUGAGAUGUUGGGUUAAGUCCCGCAACGAGCGCAACCCUCGUUUCUAGUUGCCAUCAUUGAGUUGGGCACUUUAGAGAGACUGCCGGUGACAAACCGGAGGAAGGUGGGGAUGACGUCAAGUCAGCAUGCCCCUUACGCCUUGGGCUACACACGUACUACAAUGCUACGGACAAAGAGCCGCAAGUUCGCGAGGACAAGCAAAUCUCAUAAACCGUGGCUCAGUUCAGAUUGCAGGCUGCAACUCGCCUGCAUGAAGGCGGAAUCGCUAGUAAUCGCAGGUCAGCAUACUGCGGUGAAUACGUUCCCGGGCCUUGUACACACCGCCCGUCACACCAUGGGAGUUGGCCACGCCCGAAGUCGUUACUCCAACCGUUCGCGGAGGAGGAUGCCGAAGGCAGGGCUGAUGACUGGGGUGAAGUCGUAACAAGGUAGCCGUACCGGAAGGUGUGGCUGGAUCACCUCCUUAC
rnacentral:rRNA from 1 species